UACGGAGGGUGCGAGCGUUGUUCGGAAUUACUGGGCGUAAAGCGCGUGUAGGCGGCCUUCUAAGUCUGGUGUGAAAGCCCGGGGCUCACCCCCGGAAGUGCAUUGGAUACUGGGAGGCUGGAGUACCGGAGAGGAGGGUGGAAUUCCUGGUGUAGCGGUGAAAUGCGUAGAUAUCAGGAGGAACACCGGUGGCGAAGGCGGCCCUCUGGACGGAUACUGACGCUGAGACGCGAAAGCGUGGGGAGCAAACAGG
rnacentral:rRNA from 1 species